rnacentral:rRNA from 1 species
AUAAUACUCCAUAGAUUAGAGACACUGGAAUGUUCUUUAGUCGAAAGUUCUGGCGCCUUAGGAUGGAUCUGCGGUCGAUUAGGUUGUUGUUGGGGUAACGGCCCAACAAGCCUGUAAUCGAUACGGGUUGUGGGAGCAAGAGCCCGGAGAUGGAAUCUGAGACACGAUUCCAGGCCCUACGGGGCGCAGCAGGCGCGAAAACUUUACAAUGCAGGAAACUGUGAUAAGGGAACUCCGAGUGCCCGUAUACGCGGGCUGUCCAGGUGUUUAAAAAUCAUCUGAAGAAAGGGCCGGGCAAGACCGGUGCCAGCCGCCGCGGUAAUACCGGCGGCUCGAGUGGUGGCCACUAUUAUUGGGCUUAAAGCGUCCGUAGCUGGACCGAUAAGUCUCUUGGGAAAUCCGCCGGCUCAACCGGCGGGCGUCUAAGGGAUACUGUUAGUCUAGGGACCGGGAGAGGUGAGAGGUACUCCGGGGGUAGGAGUGAAAUCCUGUAAUCCCCGGGGGACCACCGAUGGCGAAGGCAUCUCACCAGAACAGCUCCGACAGUGAGGGACGAAAGCUGGGGGAGCGAACCGGAUUAGAUACCCGGGUAGUCCCAGCCAUAAACUAUGCGCGUUAGGUGU